UCCAGGGUAGCUUAGUGAUCAUGGCAUCUGCAUGGUAAGCGGAUAAGCGGAACACUGUUGGGUUCGAUUCCCAUCCCUGGAC